UACAGAGGUCUCAAGCGUUGUUCGGAUUCAUUGGGCGUAAAGGGUGCGUAGGCGGCUCUGUAAGUCGGGUGUGAAAUCUCGGAGCUUAACUCCGGAACUGCAUUCGAUACUGCCGUGCUUGAGGACUGGAGAGGAGACUGGAAUUUACGGUGUAGCGGUGAAAUGCGUAGAUAUCGUAAGGAAGACCAGUGGCGAAGGCGGGUCUCUGGACAGUUCCUGACGCUGAGGCACGAAGGUCAGGGGAGCAAACGGG
rnacentral:rRNA from 1 species